GGAGGAGAGGGGCGGGGCGCCGUUUGAAAAACCGCGGACGACACUGAAUAUGCGAACCGAGAGCGAUGGAGACAGACACACUGACACACCAACUGGGAACGUGAUGUCACGGGCAGGUGGGCUUGAAGUAAAAGCCACAGUAAUGUUCCAGAGUGAACAGAACGGCACGAAAAAGAUCAAUAAGGUCAAGAUUAACGAGUGCCAUCAUUAGAUUGUGAUGUCGCUUCUGUCAAAAAGUGGUAUAGCAGGGAUCAGAACAUAUUUCCUGUGCCGUGGCAGACCACCUUUAACAAGCCCCUGGACAGUUUGGCAGUGGAGGCAACACGUCCAACCCAAAACAGUGACUUUCAGAAAGGCGUUAAGGUGGACACAGCUAGGAUGGGGCAGCCAUGGCACAGGUGGUAGAGCGGGUUGUUCACUAAUUGCAGGGUUGGCAGUUCAAUCCCAGACUCUUCCUAUUGGCAACUGCAGUGCACUCGAGCAAGG